AGGCGCGAUAGCAAAGCGGUUAUGCUCUGGAUUGCAAAUCCAGCUAGUCCGGUUCGACUCCGGAUCGCGCCUCCAC
rnacentral:tRNA from 1 species